GCCCCCUCGCCGCUCCCGGAUGCUUGCGCGAUGCGCUGCUCCUCCCCCGGGAAGCGGGCGGCUGCGGGAGGACGCCGCCGCCCACCACGGACGCCGGGCCCGCCCGCGAUCCCCGGGGAGAGGCGGGAGGGACAGGAGCGAGGCCGCCGGGCCAGGGCUCCGCGCGCGCCCUGGGGAGAUGGGGCGCCGCCGCCUGUUGGCCUUACGUAAGCGCUCAGCCAGGCAGGGGCUGCACGCGUCCUCCCCGCCCGGACAGCGAGUCUCAAAGGUCUUCGGCUCCAUAAUGGGGUAAUAAUGGCCCAGCCUUUGGAGGAAAACGCGAUCAUCCCUGCCUCAGACACGGAAACGCUCAGAUGGCCCGAACGCCUUCCUAAGGUCAAGAAGAUGGCACACGGCUGGCGAGAAGCCCACCCAACCCCUUCGCACCGUACCCGGCCCGCUCAUCCCGGAAGUGGUUGAAGCACCUGGGCUUCCUCCCCGCCGAGGGCCCCGCCUCUUUGUCCUGAAACGCCCGCCAGCUGCUCAGCCGGCACACGCUGGGCGUGUUCAGCCAACAGACAGGUGGUGAAUGAGAUUCUGACAUUCGUGGGGCCGUGGCUCACUGGAGAGCAGGAUCACUGUGACAGGUCACACCCCUUCCCGAGCAUCUCUUCUUGCUCUCAAUACUGUGGACCAGGAUUCCAGCACUUCUGCACCUUCGCUUGGCAGCUAGCAAGAUGAGUGACCAGGGUGACCCCUCCCAGCAGAGCACAUGACUGACCACAGCUGUGCAUGUGUUUUUAGCAUGACUGCACCAGGACAGGGCUCUGAGCCACUGGGUGGAGCAAUGGGCCCUGGGGAGAAAGCUUAUGAUACUUCCCCUAUGAUUUCAAAAAAGAAAAGGAAAAAGCCUCUUUUUCUCAUGCGUUGUUUCUGCUUAGUGUCAAUAGAAAACGCCAUGCUGUGUCUACGUAUAUAUGCAUGCGUGAGCAUGUGCUGUAUCAGCCGUCGCUACAGCGAGAGAAUGUAAACUGCAGUGCUCCUAAGAGCAAAGGUGAGGCAGACAUUGUUAGCUGGUUGCCGUGGCAGCAUCUGCUUCCUCUUUUCCCUUCAUAACAGAAUCCCAGUUUUAUUUGGGGUGACGAGUAGAGCUAGAAGACAGUUUCCUGGCCUACCUUGGAGGGUUAGGUUCCAGCCAAUGAGAUGUAAACAGAAGUGCGUGCACUGUCCAAACAGGCUGCUUAAAUGAAACUGACUCCAUUGAAA